AGCGAACGCUGGCGGCAGGCCUAACACAUGCAAGUCGAACGGAUCCUUCGGGAUUAGUGGCGGACGGGUGAGUAACACGUGGGAACGUGCCCUUUGGUUCGGAACAACUAAGGGAAACUUGAGCUAAUACCGGAUGUGCCCUUCGGGGGAAAGAUUUAUCGCCAUUGGAGCGGCCCGCGUCUGAUUAGCUAGUUGGUGAGGUAACGGCCCACCAAGGCGACGAUCAGUAGCUGGUCUGAGAGGAUGAUCAGCCACACUGGGACUGAGACACGGCCCAGACUCCUACGGGAGGCAGCAGUGGGGAAUCUUGCGCAAUGGGCGAAAGCCUGACGCAGCCAUGCCGCGUGAAUGAUGAAGGUCUUAGGAUUGUAAAAUUCUUUCAGCGGGGACGAUAAUGACGGUACCCGCAGAAGAAGCUCCGGCUAACUUCGUG
rnacentral:rRNA from 1 species